rnacentral:rRNA from 1 species
AGCAGCCGCGGUAAUUCCAGCUCCAAUAGCGUAUAUUAAAGUUGUUGCAGUUAAAAAGCUCGUAGUUGAAUUUCGAGAUCAAUUUGUUGGUCGUGCCUCGGUACGUACUGGCAAUUUUGGUUUCUCCCUUCUGAAGAACCAUGAUGUCAUUAAUUUGGUGUCAUGGGGAAUCAGGACUGUUACUUUGAAAAAAUUAGAGUGUUUAAAGCAGGCUCGCGCUUGAAUACAUUAGCAUGGAAUAAUGAAAUAGGACGUUUGAUUCUAUUUUGUUGGUUUCUAGGAUCGACGUAAUGAUUAAUAGGGAUAGUUGGGGGCAUUAGUAUUCAAUUGUCAGAGGUGAAAAUUCUUGGAUUUAU